rnacentral:tRNA from 1 species
UUAAAUGGCUGAAGUUUAGGCGAUAGACUGUAAAUCUAUUUAUGAGAAUUUAUUCUUUUUAAUCA